rnacentral:rRNA from 1 species
UACGGGGGGAGCGAGCGUUGUUCGGAGUUAUUGGGCGUAAAGGGCGUACAGGCGGUUGUGCAAGUCAGAUGUGAAAUGCAUCGGCUUAACCGAUGACCUGCAUUUGAAACUGCACGACUUGAGUACAGGAGAGGAGAGCGGAAUUCUGGGUGUAGCGGUGGAAUGUGUAGAUAUCCAGAAGAACACCAGUGGCGAAGGCGGCUCUCUGGCCUGAUACUGACGCUGACGCGCGAAAGCUAGGGGAGCAAACAGG